GCCGUGGCUCAGUGGCAAAGCAUCUGCUUUGCAUGCAGAAGGUUGCAGGUUCAAUCCCUGGCAUCUCCA
rnacentral:tRNA from 1 species